UUCCCCCGGGGUGGAACCUUCAAGCCGCUGCACGGGGGCCCGGCCUGCGCGUGUCGGCCUCAUGGCUUCCGCGGGGAAGCUCGGCUCUUUCCGCCUUCCCCCGUUGCCCACCAUUCGGGAGAUCAUUAAGUUGUUCGGACUGCGAGCGGUGAAGCAGCUCUCCCAGAAUUUCCUCCUGGACUUGAGGCUGACAGACAAAAUCGUCAGGAAAGCUGGCAGUCUAGAAGAUGUUUAUGUUUAUGAAGUGGGCCCCGGGCCUGGGGGAAUCACAAGAUCCAUUCUCAAUGCCAAUGUUGCGGAACUUCUGGUGGUUGAAAAGGACACUCGAUUUAUUCCAGGAUUACAGAUGCUUUCUGAUGCAGCACCGGGAAAACUGAGGAUUGUCCAUGGAGAUGUGCUGACGUACAAGGUAGAAAAGGCUUUUCCAAACCAUAUUAGGAGACAGUGGGAUGAAGAUCCUCCAAAUGUACACAUCAUUGGAAAUCUGCCUUUCUGUGUCUCAACUCCCCUGAUCAUCAAGUGGCUUGAAAAUAUCUCUCUCAGAGAUGGACCCUUUGUCUAUGGCAGAACCCAGAUGACGUUAACAUUUCAAAAGGAGGUAGCGGAGAGACUUGUAGCCACUACAGGAAGCAAACAGCGCAGCCGCCUUUCCAUUAUGGCCCAGUACCUCUGCAAGGUUGAGCACCUCUUUACCAUUCCAGGGAAAGCUUUUGUUCCCAAACCAGAGGUUGACGUAGGAGUGGUACACUUUACACCGUUGAUACAGCCCAAGAUCGAGCAACCAUUCAAGCUGGUAGAAAAAGUUGUUCAGAACGUAUUUCAGUUCCGGAGGAAGUACUGCCACCGAGGGCUUGGAAUGCUCUUCCCUGAAGCUCAGCGCCUGGAAAGCACUGGAAGGCUGCUACAGCUGGCGGACAUUGACCCCACCCUCCGGCCCAUCCACCUCUCGCUCAUGCACUUUAAGAGCCUGUGUAACGUGUACAGGAAAAUGUGUGAGGAAGACCCGCAGCUCUUUGCUUAUAAUUUCAGAGAUGAGCUCAAGCAAAAGAGAAGAAAAGGCCAAGGGAAAGAUGAGGACCCAGAAAGCUGGGAGUCCUAACGGCUGCUCUGAGGGCUCCACAUCCACAGUGUGGGUCCUCUGCAUCUGGAAAGACAAACACCAUAUAUUCUAGGCGACCUGCUGCAGUGAUUGCAUAAGAAUGAGCCUAUUCGUCUUGUGAUCGGAAUUAAGUAUUGACCUUCAGGAGGCCUGGCAAAGCAAAGCCCCCAGACCCACGUUCAUCUCAGAGGAAGAAACAGAUCAGAUGGAACUCGGUUCUUAAGAGGCACCAGACGAUCCUUACAGGUCUUCUCCAGCGGCAGCUCACACUUUAUGUGGCGCCUGAAGUUCUCUCUCAGAAUAGAACGGAUCACCUUAACGAUGCUAGUCUUGCU